AAUGCACCAAUUUGUAAGUCGCGCUGGAUAAGAGCGUCUGCUAAAUGACUUAAA
rfam:Salmo salar isolate Sally breed double haploid chromosome ssa11, whole genome shotgun sequence.